rnacentral:rRNA from 1 species
GACGAACGCUGGCGGCGUGCUUAACACAUGCAAGUCGAACGGUGAAGCGAGUGCUUGCACUCGUGGAUCAGUGGCGAACGGGUGAGUAACACGUGAGUAACCUGCCCAUCACUCUGGGAUAAGCACUGGAAACGGUGUCUAAUACUGGAUACGACCAACCCUUGCAUGGGGUGUUGGUGGAAAGAUUUAUCGGUGAUUGAUGGACUCGCGGCCUAUCAGCUUGUUGGCGGGGUAAUGGCCCACCAAGGCGACGACGGGUAGCCGGCCUGAGAGGGUGACCGGCCACACUGGGACUGAGACACGGCCCAGACUCCUACGGGAGGCAGCAGUGGGGAAUAUUGCACAAUGGGCGAAAGCCUGAUGCAGCGACGCCGCGUGAGGGAUGACGGCCUUCGGGUUGUAAACCUCUUUCAGCAGGGAAGAAGCGAAAGUGACGGUACCUGCAGAAGAAGCACCGGCUAACUACGUG